GGAGAGGUGCCGGAGCGGCUUAACGGGCUGGUCUUGAAAACCAUGCAUGCUAUGCAUACGGGGGUUCGAAUCCCUCCCUCUCCGCCA
rnacentral:tRNA from 2 species